rnacentral:rRNA from 1 species
GACGAACGCUGGCGGCGUGCCUAAUACAUGCAAGUUGAGCGCUGAAGGUUGGUACUUGUACCGACUGGAUGAGCAGCGCACGGGUGAGUAACGCGUGGGGAAUCUGCCUUUGAGCGGGGGACAACAUUUGGAAACGAAUGCUAAUACCGCAUAAAAACUUUAAACACAAGUUUUAAGUUUGAAAGAUGCAAUUGCAUCACUCAAAGAUGAUCCCGCGUUGUAUUAGCUAGUUGGUGAGGUAAAGGCUCACCAAGGCGAUGAUACAUAGCCGACCUGAGAGGGUGAGCGGCCACAUUGGGACUGAGACCCGGCCCAAACGCCUACGGGAGGCAGCAGUAGGGAAUCUUCGGCAAUGGACGAAAGUCUGACCGAGCAACGCCGCGUGAGGGAAGAAGGUUGUCGGAUCGGAAAACUCGGUUGGUAGAGAAGAACGUUGGUGAGAGUGGAAAGCUCAUCAAGUGACGGUAACUACCCAGAAAGGGACGGCUAACUACGUG